rnacentral:rRNA from 1 species
GAUGAACGCUGGCGGCGUGCCUAAUACAUGCAAGUCGAGCGAACAGAUUAGUAGCUUUCUCCUCUGUCGUUAGCGGCGGACGGGUGAGUAACACGUGGAUAACCUCCCUAUCAGACUGGUAUAACUUCGGGAAACCGGUGCUAAUACCGUAUAAUCUUUUGAACCGCAUUGUUCAUUAUUGAACGACGGUUUUUCUGUCACUGAUAUAUGUAUCCGCGACGCAUUAGCUAGUUGGUAAGGUACCGGCUUACUAAGGCAACGAUGCGUAGCCGAACUGGGAGUGUGAUGAGCCACACUGGAACUGAGACACGGUCCAGAGUCAGACGGGAGGCAGAGGUAGGAAUAGGUAAGAAAUGGGAGAAAGCCUGACGGAGAAACGCCGAGGGAGUGAGGAAGGUGUACGGAUAGUAAAACGCAGUUAUUAGGGAAGAACAAAUGAGAAAGUAACGAGGCACGAAUUGAAGGUACCUAAUCAGAAAGCCACGGCUAACUACGUG